UACACUCCUACGGGAGGCAGCAGUGGGGAAUAUUGCACAAUGGGCGCAAGCCUGAUGCAGCCAUGCCGCGUGUAUGAAGAAGGCCUUCGGGUUGUAAAGUACUUUCAGCGGGGAGGAAGGCAAUACGGUUAAUAACCGUGUUGAUUGACGUUACCCGCAGAAGAAGCACCGGCUAACUCCGUGCCAGCAGCCGCGGUAAUACGGAGGGUGCAAGCGUUAAUCGGAAUUACUGGGCGUAAAGCGCACGCAGGCGGUCUGUCAAGUCGGAUGUGAAAUCCCCGGGCUCAACCUGGGAACUGCAUUCGAAACUGGCAGGCUUGAGUCUUGUAGAGGGGGGUAGAAUUCCAGGUGUAGCGGUGAAAUGCGUAGAGAUCUGGAGGAAUACCGGUGGCGAAGGCGGCCCCCUGGACAAAGACUGACGCUCAGGUGCGAAAGCGUGGGGAGCAAACAGGAUUAGAUACCCCAGUAGUCCCAUGAU
rnacentral:rRNA from 1 species